UCACUCUGAUUUCCCUUCAAUGCACGAAUAACUCUUUCGCCUUUUACUAAAGAUUUCCGUGGAGGGGAAUACUCAAUGAGUCUUUGACAAUUUUUUGAAGUACCUGGCGAAAGCUAGGUC